rnacentral:rRNA from 1 species
AGAGUUUGAUCCUGGCUCAGGACGAACGCUGGCGGCGUGCUUAACACAUGCAAGUCGAGCGGUAAGGCUCCUUCGGGGGUACACGAGCGGCGAACGGGUGAGUAACACGUGAGUAAUCUGCCCUUCACUUGGGGAUAAGCACCGGAAACGGUGUCUAAUACCCGAUACGACACUCUCCUGCAUGGGAUGGAUGUGGAAAGUUUUUUCGGUGGGGGAUGUGCUCGCGGCCUAUCAGCUUGUUGGUGGGGUAAUGGCCUACCAAGGCUUCGACGGGUAGCCGGCCUGAGAGGGUGACCGGCCACACUGGGACUGAGACACGGCCCAGACUCCUACGGGAGGCAGCAGUGGGGAAUAUUGGACAAUGGGCGGAAGCCUGAUCCAGCAACGCCGCGUGAGGGAUGACGGCCUUCGGGUUGUAAACCUCUUUCAGCGGGGACGAAGCGCCGAUGAUGGUGGUGACGGUACCCGCAGAAGAAGCACCGGCCAACUACGUGCCAGCAGCGGCGGUAAUAC